AACGAGCUGAACCAAAACAUUGUAGUAAGCUCAGGAAAACAAAUCAACCGAGAUUCUAAUAGUAGCGGCGAGCGAAAUUAGA
rnacentral:ncRNA from 1 species